rnacentral:lncRNA from 1 species
GGCGCCCAAGUGGCGGGCGGGAGGGCCCCACCACACCGGCAGUUUCAACAAAAAUUCAAAAUUCAAAAAACUAACCCAAAAAUAAAACAAUUGAAAAACCCCGAUAAAUAAGUCAGCUUUUUUGCAGAAGAACAAAAGGGAAAGAAAUCUCUCCUCUCUCUCUCUUUUAUCUUUUCAAUUCUCUGGUUCUUUUUUUAUUUGAAUCUCCAGUUUCUUCUUCCUCCUUCCUUCCCUUUUCUGCUUUGUUGACCUUCAAUUUGGAAUCGAGAGGAAAGGGUUGGAUCGAGUUGUUCUUCUUCUUAUAAGGAGGGAAAGGAAAAAUGAGAGAGGUCAUCAGUCUACACAUUGGACAAGCUGGAAUUCAGGUCG